AUGGGGUGCAGCAGGCGAGAAAACUUUGCAAUGUGCGAAAGCACGACAAGGUUAAUCCGAAUGGGGNNCNNNNNGNNNGAAAACUUUGCAAUGUGCGAAAGCACGACAAGGUUAAUCCGAGUGUUUUCUGCUAAAGAAAUCUUUNNNNNNNCGUAAAACCACUGGUGAAUAAGGGGUGGGCAAGUUCUGGUGUCAGCCGCCGCGGUAAAACCAGCACCUCAAGUGGUCAGGAUGAUUAUUGGGCCUAAAGCAUCCGUAGCCUGCUUUGUAAGUUUUCGGUUAAAUCCAUGUGCUCAACGCAUGGGCUGCCGAAAAUACUGCAUAGCUAGGGAGUGGGAGAGGUAGACGGUACUCAGUAGGUAGGGGUAAAAUCCUUUGAUCUAUUGAUGACCACCUGUGGCGAAGGCGGUCUACCAGAACACGUUCGACGGNGANGGANGAAAGCUGGGGGAGCAAACCGGAUUAAAUACCCGGGUAGUCCCAGCUGUAAACGAUGCAGACUCGAUGAUGCAUUGGCAUAAUAGCCAUUGCAGUGUCGCAGGGAAGCCGUUAAGUCUGCCGCCUGGGAAGUACGUACGCAAGUAUGAAACUUAAAGGAAUUGGCGGGGGAGCAC
rnacentral:rRNA from 1 species